AGGCAAGAGUACUGGAGUGGGUUGCCAUUGCCUAGGGCAGACUAAACAUUUGCUACACUGAGACCAUAUUUGUGUCUCUAGACCUAGUUCUCUCCUUAGUUCUGGUUUUAUAAAUGCUGGUAGUAAAU
rnacentral:snoRNA from 1 species